UUUAAAACCUACAAGCUCAUCAGCUUAGCUUGCCCAAAAAUGAAAAGCCACCACGUGGUGAAUGUUAAAUGUUAAACACAACUUCCUGGAUUAGUCAAAAACUUACCAGACAGCUUUGGGAACGGCAACUGAUCAUGAUGCACGCUUUCACAAAGCAAAGGACAAAAUUGUCUCUUUGCUAUCUAGUAGCUGUGAUACUCACUAUCUGUCCUGGAUUUGCUGAUUGGACGACGCAUGACUGCUUUACCUGCAGGGACAAGAGCAGAUGCCCAAACAUAGAGAGGAUUUUUGGACCUCAUGACUCCCUUCUCUUUG